UUAAAAGAUAUGAAGUUUUGGUCUUCUGAUUUGUUUAAUGGUCAUUUUUUAGGGUUUGUAAA
rnacentral:tRNA from 1 species